rnacentral:ribozyme from 1 species
CGCAGAGGGCAGCCCUUCGGGGCUGUAAUGCACUCCCCACCUGGGGAGCGGUCCCAAGUCCGC